UUCAUUUGUCAAAUAAAACCGCCGAUGAAAACCCUAGCUUUCCUGCUCGGCCGCCCACCCACCCGUGCCUCCUCUCUUCCCCUCCCGAACAGAGAGCUCUCGGAAGGAGAGGCUCAACCCGCGUCCAGCACGCCCCGGCGCCGGCGACGCCGCAGCUCAUCCCUCCCCUGCAGCCUUCCCUAACCCUAGAUCGACGGGGCCGCCAUCUCAUCUCCUCUUCCAGAAGGCGGGAGUAGCAGUGAAGACCACCAUGGAAUGCUACUCUGUCGGUGACCAAGGACGGGAAAAACAAGGCCGUGUGAGGUGUGGAUGGAUUUGUGGACGGGCGAAGCCGCAUCACGGUCAUGGAUCAUCUUCCUUCUUAUCCCCACCAAAAGUUUCGUUUAUCUUUUGGAGGCCAGAAAUCUCCCUUCUUAUCCCCACCAAAAUUUCGUUUAUCUUUUGGAGGCCAGAAAUAUGGUAUUUCUUUCUAUGGAAGACAUCAGUUUUGCAUCCGAGUUAUUCGUUUGAAUGGAAUGUUUAUCUCCUUCACCAGGCUGAAGGAUGUUCGCCACAACUUAAAAGCAGGUCAAUCAUGUUUAAAUUGCCUUUCUAAAUUGGCUUUCACAUGUAUGGCAGGCUGGCAGCAGCACCAUAGGAAUUAGUCCUCAACCAAGGUAUUUUACCUAUUUCCCUCUAUGUAUAGUAGAUUUGUGGUGGUUGUUUGCCACCAUCAGAGCUAUGAAUGUGCAUGACGCAAUUGAAAUUCUGCAUAUGAUCGACGUCCUUUGAUAAGGUUUUUUGUUAAGAGUUUUUCUUGCUGCCCUUUUAUCAUUUGAGGGUAUGAAAUACUUUGCAUAGUUUGAAUAAGGAAUUUGAUAUAUGACAUUCCUUUCUCCCAUGUGGAAUUAGGAAUUUUGAUAUACUUACUCAUUUUGUAGUUCCUUCCAAUAUGAACUCAGGCUUUAUAUUUUUCUGUUUGAGUCACAUACUUGUCUGACCUAUGACGACAACAAUGUGUAACUAUGACUUUUUCAGUUUUUUUGUAAGUAUCUUGGACAUGCAGAUCAUCAUCUGUAAAGAUUAGUAUUUGUAAUACUGUGUUUGGAGUGCAACCUCUCGCUAAUAAUACCCAAGAAUUGACAGACUUGGAAUAUUUACUCGAGUGAGUACUGAGGAGCACAACUCGGGUCAUGCGUGAGAAUUAGGAGGGCAUCGGUCAUCUGCAACUUUAGAUCGUUCCCAAGGUGGUAAAGCUUAUUCCUUUCCCAAAGCUUAUUCAUUAUUAUGCAUAUUUAUUUAACUUACCUUUCAUCAGAUUAAUGCGAUUAACACAAUCCAAUACGAAAAGGUUAGCAAUUGCAGAAGGUUCAUCUAGAUAAUUCAAUCUCCUUACUAUUUAUCCAAACAAACAUACAGUAAUGUUUUAUUUUACCUUUGUAUAAAUCCCCAUGCAAAGUUUAGAUGACCAAUGUGCGCUUAUUUUUAUUUGGUGCUAUGUAAACCUGUAUGCAAGUAAGCUUUACAUCAGUGUUUUCAAAAUAUACCAGCGAUUGAAAGCAGAGGGUGGAUGCAGCUGGUGUUCGUGGUGGCGUGGCCCGGAAGGUGGCACCAUGUUUCUCGCCUGCAGCUUCCUACUCUUAUUAUAUCCCAUAUCUUUCGUUGUGUACAGUCGAUUACCACUGCACACCUCUGCUUGCUUCGUCUGUUCAAUUAUUUCAGCUUUGUCGCGGUUGCAACUUUCCGCUCUCUGUGUUGUGUUUGGAUGACAAACGGUUGAAACUGAUGAUGGUGUUGGCACAAAUCGUCUUGGUGUCCAGAGAGAGAAAGUUUGGAUGGAAGGGAGCCAAGAGGUAAGAUGGUGCACAAGCUUGUUGAAACUUCCUACUAUCCCAAGACACUGGACGCCAACUUCACUCAAGGCAAAAGGAAUUAUUUCGUAUCUCAGACAUGCUUCUAUGGUAUCGAGUUAUCUAAUCUUUAUAGCAUAGUUUGUUGGAGGAAAAAGAAAGUAUAUUUUCGUGGAGAUUGUAUUUUAUUGUUUUGACAAUACUUUUUCGUUGGCUUACAGUGGCUUAUUCUCUGAAUUGGUUUUGCAGGUAGGAAGGUGUUACUGGACAGCUAAUAGCAGACAAAACAAUUUACUGUAAAUUUCUUCGAAGAUCUUGAAUCUUACUCAACAGUUUUGAUCUCCCUAUGACAGUCAAAGGGGUAAAUCUAUUUGGCAGUCCACAUCUUUUGCAAAGCUUCCAUAUGAGGUUUGGACACAAGCUCAGGCUCAUUUGCGUAAUUUUUUUUGUAGUUCACCACAAGAUAUCAAUGCCUGCUUAUAUAUCCUCUAUAAUGUGAUAGAAAACCACGAUGGUUUUGUGGCCAAAAGUAGUGAUAGAAUAUCAUCUUUUGACUUUAGUACUGAAUGAGUAGAGCUCCAUUCUACCAGAGGAAAGUGUAUUCUUUGGUGACAUGCAACAUGUUGGUUGUUAGUUUGCUUCACCGGUUAAUUAUUUCUUAGAAAAACAUCAAUUUCUACUUUUGAAAAGGGCAGCGACAUAUUUGAGUUUGAUGCUUGCAGUUAUAGACUUGUAGUUAUUAAUUUUGUUUUGGUCUUUAUAGUUUCUCUGACCAUCCAAAGUAUGAGUGUUUAUUUAUCUAAAUAAGUGUAGUCCGAGAGUAGUAGAGAGGAGUAGAGGACACUACUGUCCUGAGCAUCUAUUACUAAAUUACACACCUAAACCUGUUGUAAUGUCCAAACAUUCAGCGGGCAUAGCAUCGGGCAUGUUCUUGCUCCAUCAUUUAGCUGAUCAAAAGCGAUCGCUGAUUCUUUUGUGCAGGGAAUUUUCAUAGUAUAAUUUUUCAUCCAUGCCUUUCACAGAGUGCCUUUAUGGAGUACCGUGUGUCACCCUUAGGCUAAAGAAUUGCCCUAUUCUGGCACUAUUUUUUUUCUUUGUUUUCUGAGCUGUGUUAUUAGCCCCUUCUCCUUCCAAAUAUCCACACUUCAACUGUUCUAACAUUCUGGUGAAUAUGUAUUUGCAACUCUGAUUGCUAAGUUAUGCUUAUCAACAAAGAGGACGUGAAGGCGAACACUCGAGAGGAGGGGGGCUCCCCUCGUGAGGGCAUGCUUGACACAACGCGGACCUGCUACUCGAAGUAUGUAGUUGUAACAUCCAUAGCCGUUUUGGCUGCUGCCCUCCAAUACCUGAUGUUCUAUAUGCCAGGGCCUCAUGACAAUGUAAUCGUGCAGUAUCUUGUGUUUCGUUCUUUUUCGUUUUUGGUAUGUCUUCUUUUCAGUUUUGCUUGUUAGUAAGCAAUUUUGGGUGUUUUAUGUAUAUUUCUUGCAAGAGCUGUCAAUGUUUCCA